UAAACCAGGAUUAGAUACCCUAUUAUAUUUAAACAAAUUGGGUAGUAUUAUUAAUAAAAACCUUUAUACUUUGGCGGCAUUUUAUCUUAUUAGAGGAAUAUGUUCAUUAAUCGAAACCACACGAUAGUUUUUACUUACUAUAAAAUUUUAUAUACCCCCGUCUAAAGAAUUUAUUUAAAAUUUUUAUUCCAAAUUAUAUUAAAAAAAGUUAGGUAAAGGUGUAGACUAUUAGUAAGAUUAAAUGUAUUACAUUAAAAAAAAAUUUAAGGAUAAAACAGUUAACUGUUUAUUAAAAGAGGAUUUAUAAGUAAUUUACUUUUAAUAAAAAUUAAUGAAUAAGAAAAUAAAUGUGCACAUAUCGCCCGUCACUCUCACAUAUAAACCAGGAUUAGAUACCCUAUUAUACAUAUCGCCCGUCACUCUCACAUAUAAAC
rnacentral:rRNA from 1 species